GCAGGCUGGGAUGGGAGGGGUCCUGAAGACUGAGCCCUCAGAGUGGCCUCGGACCUAAAUCAUAAACAGAUCUGAGUCCAUGUACCAACAGGAGCAGAAAGCAUUGUCUCGUGACUGUGAGAGUAUCCUCCAGAGGGAUUCGAUUUCGCCAGCCUCAGCUGUCGUGUCGGAGACGAAUGAAGACGGGCGAAAAAAAACCUCACCUCCAGCAGAGGCUUUCCGGGGGGCCAGGCGGAAUUUAAUCUCAUCUCCUGCGAGUCUGUCCGCUCCGCGCGGUGGCACCUGGGAGAAGGUCCGCGGACGGCAGCGCGCGCGCACACCCGCCCGGGACCAGGCCCCACUAUCGCGGCUCAGCCCAGAUUACCCAGAAACACCCACGCUACGUGGAGCCGGUCCAUGCAGCUGAGGAAACGCGUCAGACGGAGUGCAGGCGACGGCCGUUAAUGGAACCCAGGCCGGUCUCCUCGCCGGGACUCAAGCGAGAAGCCCUCUGGUUACACGUCAAAGCCGGAGCACAUGCUGGCAAGCACGGCUUUGAGUAAUGCUUUUCUCAGUACCGUCAACCCCGAUUUUACAGCAACGCAAGAAAUACAUCAUUGAUAUUAUUUCAGCAUGUUCUCAAUUGGCACAAACAGUUUGUGUGUUUGAUGAAGGCUAUUUUAAAUACUUACUGAAGCUUCUGAAUCACCUGCUGGUCUUAUGAUGGCAGGCAUUUGGAGCAAGGCAUUUACUCCAAAGCAGUAUAUGCACUGCCGUUAUGCCUCCAAAAAAAAUGAAGAGAGGGAGAGAUGAAAGAGAGUGAAUCUCCAGAAGUUAUGUAUUACCUGAUUGUUCCUCGAGAAUUUACAGUUACAGUACUUUCUUGUUUUAGACCACAAACCCCGAACGUUAUGUACCUGCCAUUGUAAAGUCAGCAGGUUGUCAGAAACAUCUUUAAUUAUCUAAAAUAUCCUUCAACAUACUCACAACUGUCUGGAACAAUCACAAACUGAAAUUGAAAUAUUUUUUGUUAAAGUUAACUAGCGCCCUAAAGCUAAAUGCACGGUUGCAGAACUUUCUAUUGCAUUCCUAACAUCGAGACAAAAAAUUUACAUUGAAGCAAAAAUUGUUAUCGGUUAUAACUCUGUAUUUUACGGACUGUAUGUUUUGUCAGCAUUUUUAACGAGGCGUCUGUUAUCAACGCGCAGCAGAGCCUGUUUGUCAAUAUAAAGAACAGGAAGAGAGAGAGAGAGAGUGAGAAAAAACAGACGGAGUAAAAAAGCAGCCACAAACUGACCUGCGUAUCCUGUACUGACAGGAAACGCGUCACUGCGUGAUGCUCUGCUGCUACUUCCUGUCUGUUAGACCACAGUCAGCCAACACUUCUCUCUUUCCCUCUCUCUUUCCUUCUUCCUCCACCAGCUCUCACUGUUUUUGUUCCUCAUUAUCUCACCAAGGUCUUUUACACACACACAUACACACACAUCCAUUUCACAACCUUGUAAAUUCUCAAAUAGAAGCAACACAAUGUACAAUAUGUUUCUGUUAUAUGGACUGUCAGUGCCAUUCAAAGAGCAUGAAACAUUAAAAAACAUUAUUUUCUGUUUGAA